GGUUGGAUCAUUACUGAAAUUUCGGUUCUUUUGAACCGUUUCAACCUCUGUGCUAUUGUGAUUGUUUCUGGGUACAUUUUUUGUACCCAAAAAUGUUAAACCAUUUUUAUUAUUAUUGUCUGAUCUUUUUAUUAUAUAAAAAAAAAACAACUUUUGACAACGGAUCUCUUGGCUCUCGCAACGAUGAAGAACGCAGCGAAAUGCGAUACGUAGUGUGAAUUGCAGAAUUCCGUGAAUCAUCGAAUCUUUGAACGCAAAUUGCACUCUGUUUCGGCAGAGUAUGCCUGUUUGAGAAUCUAUAGUAUUCUACUUUUAAAGUGAUUUGACCAAUGUUUCAAUGAAACUUGGUUUAAAACUAUAGAUUGCAGUACCUAUAAAGUGUACAAUGCUCUAGCAAUGAAGGGUUCGCCCAACUUGGCUUUUGCAGUGCUUCACACGAUAGGGUUUGAACUUUCGAGUUCUCUUUAUUGCAACACCCCAAACACAAUUUUGAACCUUGGUCUCAAAUCAGGCAGGAAGACCCGCUGAACUUAAGCAUAUCAAUAAGCGGAGGAAAAGAAACUAACAAGGAUUCCCCUAGUAACGGCGAGUGAAGCGGGAACAGCUCAAAUUUGAAAUCUCAGUGGGUUACCACUGCGAAUUGUAGUUUAGAGAAGCGUUUUCGGGGGCAGCCUAGGUACAAGUUCUUUGGAACGAGACAUCAUAGAGGGUGAGAAUCCCGUCCAUGAUCUAGAGUCUGCUCCUAUGUGAUACGUUUUCCAAGAGUCGGUUUGUUUGGGAAUGCAGACCAAAAUGGGAGGUAAAUACCUUCUAAAGCUAAAUAUUGGCGAGAGACCGAUAGCGAACAAGUACCGUGAGGGAAAGAUGAAAAGAACUUUGAAAAGAGAGUUAAACAGUACGUGAAAUUGUCAAAAGGGAAACGCUUGGAACCAGUAUUGUCUUUGGGAAUUUAGCUGUUCUUUUGAGCAGUGAUUUUCCCAGUGACGAGUCAACAUCAGUUUGACUUGGGUGAAAAAGCCUUGAGAACGUAGCCCUUUUGGGUGUUAUAGCUCAAGGUCAUAACCUGGGUUGGACUGAGGAAUGCAGCGAUUUUGGGGAACCGGUCGCCUUGAGGUGAAGUUUAGUGACUGCUUGCAGAUGCUAAGCGUAAGCUGAGAGUACGGCCGGUGUACCACACCAACGCUUAGGAUGUUGACGAAAUGGUUUUAAACGACCCGUCUUGAAACACGGACCAAGGAGUCUAACAAUUAUGCGAGUAUUUGGGUGGUAAACUCUUAUGCGCAAUGAAAGUGAAAAGGUGGGAUGCUUUUUGCUGCACCAUCGACCGUGCUAGAUUAUUACUAUCUUGGCAUGAGUAUGAGCAUAUUUGUUGGGACCCGAAAGAUGGUGAACUAUGCCUGAAUAGGGUGAAGCCAGAGGAAACUCUGGUGGAGGCUCGUAGCGGUUCUGACGUGCAAAUCGAUCGUCAAAUUUGGGUAUAGGGGCGAAAGACUAAUCGAACCAUCUAGUAGCUGGUUCCCUC
rnacentral:misc_RNA from 1 species